CGUAGGGGGCAAACGUUGUCCGGAUUUACUGGGUGUAAAGGGUGCUCAGGCGGUUUUGUAAGUCAGAAGUGAAAUCCUAGGGCUUAACUCUGGAACUGCUUUUGAUACUGCAAGGCUUGAAUAUGGAAGAGGAGGGCGGAAUUUCUGGUGUAGCAGUGAAAUGCGUAGAUAUCAGAAAGAACACCAGUGGCGAAGGCGGCCCUCUGGUCCAUUAUUGACGCUAAAGCACGAAAGCCGUGGGGAGCAAAACAGGAUUAGGUACCCUGGUAGUCCACGCCUUAAACGAUGAAUACUAGACGUUGGGGUUAAACUCAGUGUCGCAGCUAACGCAUUAAGUAUUCCACCUCGGGGAGUACGAUCGCAAGGUUG
rnacentral:rRNA from 1 species